ACCCCGCUUGCAGGUUGGUUUUAGAAAAUUUGUCUUAUUUUUCUAUUUAUGUUGGGAAGCAUACUUAAAAAGAAAAGAAAAGCCAACACUAAAGAGGACAAUUCACAAGAAUAAAAACCCUCCGUUAGAAGUUUUGCGGAUUCGCUUUCGGGGAAACAAACAGAUUGGCUAAGCGGUUUUUGAGGGCCGAAAUCAGCUGACAUCACUAAUGAUGGGUGGUUGCGGGUGGUUCGCAAGUACUUCAAAAGCAGCUUGCGGAGAGAACAAAAAAGUUAAACACCGCUUCCACGAACAGCGAAACGCUCAACAAAUGGAAGUUACCGGUUUUUUUUUCACUAUUUUUUUUGCCACCUGCCGAAGACGACGCAAACAAACCAUCACCCAACCGAACCGAAGCCCGAUCCGGAGCAACAACGCGCGGCUAGCACAUGCUGGCGCACGAGCCACGCCACCGUCACAGCAUCCUCCAACGCGCGCAUGAAUUCAUGUGCUCAUGCAUGGUUCAUGCGAAGCCUCGGCGCAAAGCCCGAAGCUGUUCAUCCCAUCCGCUUCCAUGGCAACCGACGUGCCGGUUGCAAUCGCACGCUCCCGCUCUCUCUAACGGGCCCUUGCGCGCGCUUUCUCAGCUUUGCAGAGAAGAAGCGUUGGAGCUUUCCCAUCAUCUCCCGCUUCCCAGUCAGUGGGGGUUGGCACAACAACAAAAAAAAAGAAACAAAACCGAAAGCUCGCCAGCACCCGACCGAUCGACCGAGCGACCAGCUGGACCGCUUUGCCGGAUGGACGUGAAAUGCCAGUCUGUUGUUGCGCUCGGGCGUAGAAAGUGGUCUCCGGCUGCGCUUUAUCUCGUCACAAAAGAGAACAAAAGUGGCCGUUGCCGUGGCUGUUCGGUGUUGGUUCGCCAGUGUUUUACCGAGGGUGGCCAAAACAUAGCACCCGGUCGAAGGCGAAAAGUAAACGCAAAGGGUGGCCCCAAACCGUAACGGGUGGCGUAAUUUUCCAACUUUGUGUGUACGUGCAUCGGUGGUAACAGCAACAUAGAUACGAGUGUGUGUGACUUAUUCUGUGUGUGUAUGUGAUUGUGCCCUGCAACCAUCGUUUAAAGCGAGUGUCCCCGACAAACAGUCCUCCAAAUGAUUCCACAUCGAACUGUACGGCUGUAUCGAUUGCAGCGAGCGGGAAGCGUUUGGAACGGCCAACGGUCGGUGACGACGUUUGGUGGUGCAGUGCUGGCGGUGAUGCUACUGUGUGCCGCCACCGUGGUCGGCAGGGCUGAGGGAUACAAUGCGUCCGCGGGCAGCAAGCCGGAAGACAUGCCGAGCAGCGAAGAAGGCGAGCAAUUGAUGCCACAGGCACUCUCGCUAACGACACUGCUCUCGGAGGAUCCAACGGCGGCAGCGCUGCAGCACCAGCCCGGCCAAACCGAUGCAUCCCUGCAGCCCCUGGCCGAGCACGGCCCGUCGGCACCUUCCAGCUCACCGCCCGACGGACGCCGGCGACGUCGGCUGGGCAGAAAGCGCAAACGUCGCCCACUGCAGGACGACUAUUGGCCGCCGGCCGCACCGGAAGAUAACGAUACCGAAUCGAACGUGUUUUCCUCCCCGACGGCAGCGGCGGCCGGGACGCGCGGAUCCGAACGGAAGCGCCUGCCAGCAGUACGGUGGGAAGAGGCGGGACAGCAGCAGAAGGUGCCACCGUCCGCCUUUCGGCAGGGUGUUCGCACGAAUGGCAACUGGAAUCAUCACCAGCAGCAUCAGCAGCGCGCCGGCGACUGGAUGCACAAUCCCUACACGGAUGCGGUGAACGUGGAGCAACCGGCGGCGGCAGCGGCGGCAAUACCUGCAAGACGACUCCCCGGUGGACAAUCGACUGCGGCGGCAUCGGCCGGCGGGAAUUUGCCACCUAUGGAUGCGAAUAGGUCUCGGCGAAUUGCCGGCGGCCGGCCGACCGAACCGUCACCGACCAAUGGGAAAGCGUACCGGAAGCCCUACUCGCAGGCCCGGCGCACCGAGGAGGAACACGGCGAUGGUGGUGGUUCAGGAGAGACGGCCGGCAAGCUUCCUGCGUCGGCGGCCGAUCUGAAGGCCCUGCUGAAGCAGUCGGACGGGCUGAGUUUGAGCGAAAUACUGCAGCAGCGCAACAUUUCCCUGCAGGAUCUUAUCAAGGGCAAGCAGAUGGCACUGGCCGCCCUGACCCAGAGCCCGCUGGACGCGACCACAACGACGAUGCCGUCGACGGCUGGCGAAACCGACCCGGCGUCGACCCUCUCGCCGACACUUUCGAGCGUACGGUUUCGGGUGUACGACGAUGAUGGCGUUACCGGGCGAGUGUCGCAGCCGGGCGGCGAAACCACCACCGGCGCGAUAAUGACGAGCCCAACGACGAGCACGGUGCUACCAGCACCGGCUAGCGAUAUGCUAACGACGUCCGGCUUCAAUGGUCAUCCGCUGGAGGACGACGAGUCGAGCAAUGCGGUUGGCGAUGAUAACAACGGACAGAAAGGUGGUGGUGGUGGUGGUGGUGUGGGCAACAUUUUCCCAACGGUGGAAAUCAAACAGCUCGCCCUCAACCCGGUCCUGCCCGUGCACAAGGAGGAGCAGCAGCGCGUGCGACCGAUAAAGGGUGUCGCCUCGCGGAUACGGCCCGACCUGAGCAACACGCACAUCCGCACCGAACCGGGCCUAACCACACCAUCGACGAGCGGGCCAACGAGCCCAUCGCUGCUGCUGCUAACACCGACCACCCGGGAAAAGUGGACACCGUCGGCCGCCCUCGUCGGGCAGCGGGCCAAGCAGCAAACGACCGGCGGCAGGCAGCGGCACCACGGUUACGGCACCACCCUACCGGCCAGCUUUAGCUCGUCCGGUUCGGCUGACCGGCUGACCGUGACGACGGUCGAGCCACCGACGGCGAAGAAGCUCGUUGCGCCCAAACUGAGCUCCGUCGAGGCCACCUCCAUCCUGCCGGAAGCGGAAGCAAUGGUGGAGCUGUCGCCCGAUCGGCCCCUUCAGCAGCAUUUGCUUCGCGUGCCGAAACUGAAGCCCCGAAUCGCCAUCAAACCGAAGCUAACGAACGUGGUACCGCCGACGCUGCCCGCCGAUUCGAACGGAGCAACGGUGGUGUCAUCGCCGUCAUCACCACCACCCGACAAGCGGCCACCGGCGACGAAAGAUCCACUCAACCUGUCCGACGUCGAGCUGGAGGAUGACAGUGCUGGGGAGCGAGGGACAGUGGUUACAACUGACCUGCCGACCGGCAAACGGCAACCGCCAACCCGCCAGCACCGGCUGCACGAUGACCUGGAGGACGAAGGGGAAGAAGAGCCGCGGCUGAACAUCAUCGAGAAGUUCACCUCGUUUGCCGAUUCGUCGGCUGGUGUGCGACCGCAGGCCACACCGCAGGAGGAGCGCGACUCCGAGCAGGAGGAGGCGGCGGUGGCCGAUUUGAUCGGCCGCAUCAGCGAGCACACGCAGCGCUCGUUCACCGACAGCCUGGAGGAGCUGUACCGCGACGUGACGGAGAGCAAUCCGUCGCUGUUUAACGACCUGUCGCCGAUCACCAGCGCGGACGAGCGGCGCGAGCUGCUCGAGCUGAUGGAGGACCGGCGGAUCGGGUCGCGGCUAGCGAAGGUGCUGUCCCAGCGCAACAUGACGCUCGACCAGCUGCUCGAGCAUCGGCGCCGCGGUUCCAGCCAGCUCCAUCUGGCGGAGAUCGCGAACGGCAAGGUGAAGCCGAUCGACGACAAGAUCGACAUCGUGACGGCGUUCGAGCACUUUCCGCGCUUCAACAUUGGCAAUCUGCGCAGCAUCCGGCCCGACGACAUCAAGCACGAUUCGCAGGGCUUCAGCUACUUCACCUCCAUCAUCAACAUCCGCCCGUCGGACGAGGGCUACAGCAAGGAGGCCCGGGCGCUGCAGCAGGACCGGCACCGGUCGCGGGCCGCCGCCGGCAGCAACCACCAGCACCACCAUCGCAGUGAGUCGCAUUUUUUAGUGAAGGGCGGAUCGAAGGAUAGGCUGCUCGUGCCUUCGAGAAUGUCCGCCGCAAUGGAACACGCGUACGGCAGCAAUGGUGAGCAGCAGCACGGGGCUGCCGGCACUGGGGACGACCGGAUGGAUGUGGACGGCGAUCUGCUCGAUCUGGAGCUGUCCGGGCACGGGUUUCAGCACCACCGGGGCUCGGUCACGAUCGAAAGCACGUCGAUGCCGGUCGGCGUCCGGUCGGCGAUCGUGGCCAGCUCGGCCAUCGUGGGCGUCUCGCUGCUGAUCUUUGUGGCCAUCUUUGUGGCGUGCCGGGUGCGGCAGCGCCGGCGCCAGAAGCUCAACUACACGGAACACUUCCACAUGGCCAAGGGGCGGCUGCCGAUACUGCAUGGCGGAGUGGAGCAAGAGCAGCAGCAGCAGCAGCAGGCCCACAGCAGCUGCACACCGGCCGGUUCGGGCCGGUCGAGCAGUUUGGGCGAGCAGCAGGUCGUCUACACGACGCACCGUGCCCUGGCGGAACGAACCGGCGGCACCGGUGGGGCGGGCGCAGCGCCUACAGCGACAGCGGCGGGCCGGCAGCGCACCAUGAUGGAUCCGAACUCGGUCGAGAUACAGGACUACCUGUGGGACCGGAAGCCGUUCCAGUAGAGACGGGGCAUUUACGCCGUAAAUCUGGAAUGUCGACGGUUGUGAUAGCACAUGCUCUUUUUAUCUGUUUGUGUAGAUUGGUCUCAUCACACCGAAUGAAACAAAACAAAAAAACACAAAAAAGAAGGACAGCACCGACACCGUAUCGAACUCUUAUUGGGGCGUACGAGAAGUAAGGAUGGAAUUCCGGCGCGCUGUUGAUGCCCUCGUGCCCCGAAACGGUACGGACGGUAAUCCUGUAGCCGUGGGGUAUGCAGCAGCAGCAGCAACCGCAGAUUGGCGACAUCUCGGGCACACGAUUGUCCAUGCAACAUGCGACUAAACUUCCCAGGAAUUGGUUAUUUAGAUAUGGUUACGAGCAAAAGGACCAACAAGGUCGGUUGCGGCCGUUCGUUGCGCGUAGAAAGGAGGAGAGCAGCAACGAACAACAGUAGACCAGAGUUUCCAGAGUGAUGUAUUAAAGAGACAAACAUAAUUAUCUACACAGUAGACUAGUAACGUGCGUACGUUGUUAAGAAGCUUAGGGAGGAGAUGGAGCGGGAACGAAAAUCUUGUAAGAUAGACAAAACCAAUGUGCAAUAUUAUGAUGUUCGAAAGGAAGAAUAAUACAUUAAUUUAGAGCAGCGAUAGUGUAAAAACGACCCGCAAAACGACAACCCGUUGGCGGUACGCGUUGUAGCCCGGUAGGGAAAUAAUUUAUAGAUUAAAACAACGAUGCCCCGUAUGUCCGUUUCUUUUAAGGAUAGGUUGGGAUGGUAGAAUAGGAGUUCGAGUUGCCCAACGCCCGCCUGAUUGAGCACCAAGGGGGAACACUAAGGAGGGGAACACUAAGGAGCAAUCCGACUUAACGUCGAUGGUGAAACCAAUCCGAAACUCUCUUAAAUUACAAUAAAUCUAAUUAAAAGGCAGUGGUGGUAUCGUCCUCUUUUCCCUUUGUAAUCUCAA